UCCCCUAUCAAAAUUUUAAAAGGCAUAAGAAGUAGUAAAGCCAGCAUGUGGUGGAUCAAAGAGCAAAUGAGAGAUGAGGAAAGAGAAAAUUCACUUUCUAGAGGGAGAGUUUUUUUUUCAAAAAUAUUCUCACCUUGUUAAGGAAAAAAAGACUACAAAAGAACUCACACAGCAUUGGAAUGUAUGAAAGAAAAUUUGACCAUGGAAGAGAAAGAUUGGAGCUGCUGCCCAAAGGAUUGGAAGUCAUUUAGUUCCAACUGCUACUUUUAUUUCUACUACACCAAGAAAUUGGACUGAGAGUGAGAGGAACAGCUCAGAAAUGAAGGCUGACCUGCUGGUGAUUAACACCAAGGAUGAACAGGUACUUUCUAAUAGAUGAUGGAGUCAACGGUCCGCUGGUUAUUGUAUA
rnacentral:lncRNA from 1 species